rnacentral:rRNA from 1 species
AAUAAACGCUGGCGGCGUGCCUAACACAUGCAAGUCGAGCGAGAAAGUUCUUCGGAAUGAGUAAAGCGGCAGACGGGUGAGUAACGCGUGAGAAUCUUCCCUUUAGUGGAGAAUACCCUCGAGAAAUCGAGGUUAAUACUGCAUACGUCCUACGGGAGAAAGAUGGCCUCUUUGCUAUCGCUAAAGGAUGAGCUUGCGUACUAUUAGCUAGUUGGUGGGGUAAUGGCCUACCAAGGCGAUGAUGGUUAGCCGGCCUGAGAGGGUGUACGGCCACAUUGGAACUGAGAUACGGUCCAGACUCCUACGGGUGGCAG